UUGAAACUCCGCUAUCCGUACAAUCACGGAAGUUAAGCAACCAUGUGUGUGCUCAGUACCUAGAUGGGUGACCGCGUGGGAAUACUAGAUUCUGU